GAGGGGAGUUCACUUCAACCAGUAGCGAAUUCUACAUCGGAGGAUCUGAAUUUGGCUCAGCCGCUGUCACAGUCAGUUUCUGAUGACUUGCACAUCAAUCAGCAGGCAGAACCUUCUAACCUUAAUGUUCGGCAGGAGGAUGAUAGACCUUCGAGCCCCAUCCAUAGGCAGGGAGCAAUUUCCGAUAACUUGCAUAGCCAUCAGCAGGUUGAACCUUCUAAUCCCAAUGUUCUGCUUGAGGAUGAUGGACCUUCGAGCCCCAUCCACAGGCACAAGGCAGUUCCUAGCACUGAAUACCGACAUUCAGAAAAUGUGACUGAGGAGCCGAAUCUGGAGGACCGAAUCAAAAUCAAUUUGGCCUCAACGUCGAAGCAGGAGAAGCAAGAGAUGUGCUUGA
rnacentral:lncRNA from 1 species